ACAAGUUGGGGCAAAAACACAAAUGGGGGAAGGGAAAAAAAAGCUUCUUUAGUCUUUGUUUGAAGAGCCAGAGCCCUCAGGAUCAACCUGGCUAAAGUUACAUGUUCUUAAUUGGGAGGCUGUUCUGGAGUAGCAAAUCUCUAGAAGGACUACAGCAUUGCCUCGCCAGCUUAUUUAAAGGAAAACGGGCUGUGUUCUGUUUGACGAGGGGAAAAAAACGACUGCAUCCACCAGAAGACAAAUCUGUAUUACGAUGACAAAUGUAUUAUUUUCUUCUCGAUUCCAGUUUUGGCAGUGCAGCAGAACUAUGGAAGAACUACGAUUUAGCAUUUCUGUUUUUGAAUUAAACUCAUGCUGAUUUAGUUUGACGGAUGGGUUAUGAAAAUGAAAAUCAACUUUUGAGUCUUUAUUUCAUAUCGUUAAUUAACAAGCUCCUUUGAGCUCAAGGGAAACAUUAUGUUUACAAACCUGUGUUAGAAUGUUUGCCCAAAAAUGUACUGUUCUGGUAUUCCAGUGGGGCAUCUACCUACUAGUUGUCACACUGAUACCAGAGUCAGGAUAUGAAAUGUAUUCCCUGGAAAAUUGCUUCUUUUUCUUUUCUUUUUUGAGGGGGGCGGGGAUAUUCUAAUACUUAUUCUUCAUUUGAACUUUUUUCCGGUUUCUGGGGGGUUGGGGGUAUAAAAAAAAAUAUAUAAUUAUAUAUAAUUGUAAGAAACUGAAGAUGCGAACUUGCUGCAGUAUGGUGUAACGUAAGUCUGUGAUAGAGCUCAUAUCAACUGUCGUGAAAUGAUUGGGGCUUCUUUUGAAUGGGCCAGUCUCUGCAGCAGACCGACUCUUUCCAGAGGUAGUGUCACUUUUUAAAACAGGAGCUUGGCUCUCUCCAGUCACAAAAGCCAACUAUAUUUCAGUGUUGCUGUAUUUCAAUUUAAUAGUCAAACUCUAUAAGGACCAUGAGCUCAACAUGGUUAAGAGGGAUUUGUAGACAUGAAAAAUACUUAUUUGCAGAUCCUGAAUAAUUGUGACUCAUGAGUCCCAAGAGGAGUACUGAAGUACAAGGUCCAUUCCCAGGAGAGUGGGUACUUGGUCGGAGCCUCACUCAAGUAACUUGUGAUGGGCUCAGUUUUAUUUUAUUUUUCCCCUUUUCCCAUAACUGUAUUGCAGUCGUUUCCCAGAAUUUGUGAGUCACCCAAGGUUGACCCAAUAGCCAAAAUGUACGCUAGGCUGCACACAACUCCCAAGGUCUAGUCCGUCUCACUGCCCCCCCUCCUUCCUCCAUUUUAAAGACAGCUCUGUAACAUAGCUGUAUUGCUGCUAAGCCCCACUCCCUUCCAGCCCCUCUGAAGCAGUAAGCCACUCUGCUAAUCGCUAAUUGUUCUCAUACUGCGGCUCAGGGAGAGGCUGUCCUCGCCGCGUCCCCGCAGGCUAAUGCCCAGCUAACGGAGCGUCAGCCAGGAGAUGGGUCAGAGGACAUUUAGCGGGGUCUUAGCGGCCUGCCCUGUUAAGUGACUCGCCAGAACUGCUGGAAGGAAGGAGGGCUGGGAGCGCUAAAGCAAAGGAGUUGUUUUUGUUAUGUUGGGGGAGGAGGGGUCAAGUUUUAAUGAGAUAAAGGGCAAACGAGUGUUAAACACCAUUUCAAAACUGUAUGGAUUGUGAAGGAGUGGUAAACCUGCCCACCUGAAAAUGCAUUAAAUCAGUACAAUAAAAGCCAACUUGGUUCUACAUUGAA
rnacentral:lncRNA from 1 species